UACGUAGGGUGCGAGCGUUAAUCGGAAUUACUGGGCGUAAAGCGUGCGCAGGCGGUUCGUUGUGUCGGUGGUGAAAUCCCCGGGCUUAACCUGGGAAUGGCCAUGGAAACUGGCGAACUGGAGUGCGGCAGAGGGGGGUGGAAUUCCGCGUGUAGCAGUGAAAUGCGCAGAGAUGUGGAGGAAUACCGAUGGCGAAGGCAGCCCCCUGGGCCAAUACUGACGCUCAUGCACGAAAGCGUGGGGAGCAAACAGG
rnacentral:rRNA from 1 species